CCUACGGGAGGCAGCAGUGGGGAAUAUUGGACAAUGGGCGAAAGCCUGAUCCAGCAAUUCCGCGUGUGUGAAGAAGGCCUUCGGGUUGUAAAGCACUUUAGUGGGGGAAGAAACAGCUUGGCCACACCAAGCCUUGACGGUACCCCAAGAAUAAGCACCGGCUAACUCUGUGCCAGCAGCCGCGGUAAUACAGAGGGUGCAAGCGUUAAUCGGAUUUACUGGGCGUAAAGGGUGCGUAGGUGGCUAUUUAAGUCGGAUGUGAAAGCCCGGGGCUCAACCUCGGAAUUGCAUUCGAUACUGAGUGGCUAGAGUUCGGUAGAGGGCGGCGGAAUUUCCGGUGUAGCGGUGAAAUGCGUAGAUAUCGGAAGGAACAUCAAUGGCGAAGGCAGCCGCCUGGGCCUGGACUGACACUGAGGCACGAAAGCGUGGGUAGCAAACAGGAUUAGAUACCCUGGUAGUCCACGCCGUAAACGAUGAGAACUUGACGUUGGUUCGUUUUACGAAUCGGUGUCGCAGCUAACGCGAUAAGUUCUCCGCCUGGGGAUACGGCCGCAAGGUUGAAACUUAAGGAAUUGACGGNNGAGAGNGCGAGACGACGACGAGGAGAG
rnacentral:rRNA from 1 species